rnacentral:lncRNA from 1 species
GAGCAGUGUAACUGCUAAGAGCACAGGUUCUGGAGCCAGCCUGCUCAGACAUGAAUCUCAGCUCAUGCGUUUCCUGUGUAUGACCUGGUCAACUUUCUUAACCUCUCCGUGCCUCCAUUUCCUUAUUUUCAAAUGGGGUCCAUCUCAUUUGGAUGAUAUGAGAAUUAAAUGCGUUGAUAAACAACUAUAGAUCAUUGAAACGUUUUCUGGAUGGUAUUAGACAAGUGAGUUUUUAAAGAGUGAUAUUUUGGGAGAGUCUCAUCUCUCAGUCAAACCAGGGCAACUAUCUUCAAAGGUUUUAUAAAUUAGGCAUCUGUGUAACAUUUCAUUUGAAGAAAAGUUUCUACUGCAUAUGCAAACAAACACAAGAAGUUUAAAUAUCAAGGCUUCUGGCUUCGUAUAAGAGAAUAGUUUCUUGAUUAAAAUUAUGUCUAAACUCAGGCAGAUUGGAUCAUACCUGGCUACGAUCUAUACUCUUACAGAAUCAUCAUGGAUGAUGGAACUGUCCACAAGACUGAGAAAAUCCCCAGGCUCCAAUGGCAGAGGUGCACCAGAGUGGCUGAGAGGCAGAGUGGAGCAGCAGAAAAGGAGAGAAGAGAAGAAGCAGCCAGACAUCAGAGAGAAGCAGCUUGACUUCAGAGGGAAGUUUGACAGUGGGACUUUGGAGAAGAGUUCAGCUGAGGAUGGCCAACUCUGCGGUAAGUUCACCUUCCCACUUCAUCCCCUUCCCACUCCCCAUCCUAUUAAGAUCCACUUCUACCGCUCAGUAAUAUCCUUUACAUUUGCCACCUCUCAAUUUGUUCAUGCAGCCUGAUUCUUCCUGAACACCAGACAAGAACUCGAGUACCAAGAGGGUGGGUGCAAAAGACUGUCACCCUGAUGCUCCACUAAGCUGUUAAACACUUAAACCAUCCAUGGGUGACAAAGCUAAAAGAAAACACUGUAACACACAGCCUCUGGGGCUUCAGGGGUCACAGGUAGCCUACUAGAUGCUGCUGUGGGGCCUCAUGGAGUUCUACUGCUGCCAAUGCCCAGAAGCACUCCUCCCGGUCCCUGCCCCUGCUCACCUGCAUGCUCUCCCUCGCCUGCCCCCCACCCCCCAUGAGGGGUUGAGAGCUGCAGGCUGAGUAAAGGAGCCAACCCCUUUGUGAUCCCCGCAAAGGGGUCAAGGGAACUAUCCCGUGUUUCCCUGGCAGUAAUGGGUAUUAAUAAAUUAAAAUAAGUACUUGCUAAAGAUGAAAUAUAUUUG